rnacentral:tRNA from 1 species
GCCGGUGUAGCCCAAUUGGCAGAGGCGGAUGACUCAAAAUCAUCUCAGUAAGGGUUCGAGUCCCUUCACCGGUA